rnacentral:rRNA from 1 species
GAUGAACGCUGGCGGCGUGCCUAAUACAUGCAAGUCGAGCGAACAGAUGAGGAGCUUGCUCCUCUGACGUUAGCGGCGGACGGGUGAGUAACACGUGGAUAACCUACCUAUAAGACUGGGAUAACUUCGGGAAACCGGAGCUAAUACCGGAUAAUAUAUUGAACCGCAUGGUUCAAUAGUGAAAGACGGUUUUGCUGUCACUUAUAGAUGGAUCCGCGCCGCAUUAGCUAGUUGGUAAGGUAACGGCUUACCAAGGCAACGAUGCGUAGCCGACCUGAGAGGGUGAUCGGCCACACUGGAACUGAGACACGGUCCAGACUCCUACGGGAGGCAGCAGUAGGGAAUCUUCCGCAAUGGGCGAAAGCCUGACGGAGCAACGCCGCGUGAGUGGUGAAGGUCUUCGGAUCGUAAAACUCUGUUAUUAGGGAAGAACAAAUGUGUAAGUAACUGUGCACAUCUUGACGGUACCUAAUCAGAAAGCCACGGCUAACUACGUG